UCGAGAAUCAUUCACAAUGGGCGAAAGCCUGAUGGUGCAACGCCGCGUGGAGGAUGACGGUCCUAGGAUUGUAAACUCCUGUCAUUGGGGAGUAAGACUUGGUUGUUAAUAGCCUCCAAGUUUGAUAGUACCCAAAGAGGAAGGGACGGCUAACUUCGUGCCAGCAGCCGCGGUAAUACGAAGGUCCCAAGCGUUGUUCGGAAUCACUGGGCGUAAAGCGUGUGUAGGCUGCGCGGUAAGUCGGAUGUGAAAGCCUGGGGCUCAACCCCGGAACUGCAUUCGAUACUCCCGCGCUAGAGUGAUGGAGAGGUAACUGGAAUUCUCGGUGUAGCAGUGAAAUGCGUAGAUAUCGAGAGGAACACCAAUGGCGAAAGCAAGUUACUGGACAUCUACUGACGCUCAGACACGAAGGCUAGGGGAGCGAAAGGG
rnacentral:rRNA from 2 species